ACUUUAUUUUUUUUUAUGGCCAAAUAUUAUUCCAUUGUGUGGAUAUACCACUUUUAUUUAUCAAUUCAUCAGCUGGUAGAUAUUUGGGUUGUUUCCACCUUAUGGCCCUUAUGAAUAAUGGGCUAUAAGAUUAACGUGCAAGUGUUUGUGUAGAAAUGUUUCCAUUUCUCGUGGGUAUGCACUGAGGAGUGGAAGUGUUGGGUCAUAUGAUAACCCUUUGCUGAACUUUUUGAGAAACUGCCAGAAAACAAUUUCCACAGGGGGUGCACAAUUUUACUUUCCCACGAGCAGCAUAUGAGGGUUUUGAUUGCUCCACACCCUCACCAAUACUUGUUGUUAUCUGUCUUUUUGAUUAUAGCCAUCCUAGUGGGUGUGUGGUGGUAUCUCGUUGUGGUUUCAUUUGCAUUUCCCUGAUGACUAAUUAUCUUGAACAUUUUGAUUUAUGUGCUUUUCUUAAUAUACGUCCUACUUUAAUAAAAAAAAAAAACCAGUGUAUUUUUAAAAUACACUUGCUUCUUGACCCCUGAUACUCAUAAAAAUUGCUCAGUUCUGAAAACACGGAACCCAGAACUUCUGGAGCCUAGAGAUUUUGCAUCUCCCAGAUGGAAUUCACCUCUGGGGGUAACCAAGUCAUUUUGGGACCAAGCUAGACUGGAGCUGCUCUCUUUCCCAGUAAGAAAUUUCCCCUGGAUCAUACACAGAAAGGCGCCAAAUGUACCUGUGUACAGGUAUGUAUUUUUCCCCUUAUACUCAGGUAAACUCGGGUUGUGAAAUGGGGUGGAAGGCUUGUAUUCAGACAUGGGUCAGCUAUCUGAAAGACUAUGUGGCACUGGACAAGGACUUGAGUCCUUGUCUCUUCAUCAAGGCACAAAGUCCAGGACAAGAAGAUUGAUGCACUUGAUCCAGACAUGGAGCUUGAGAAGAGAAUCAUCCCUAGAUCAAAUGAAAGGUAAUCCUUAACAACAUGUGUUACUUGUCCUACUUUACAUGUGGGGAACCUGAAGCUUAGAGCAGUAAUUCACUCAGGCCUCAAAGUAACUUAGUCUGCAAAAAGGUUACUUUUCAAUUCCCCCCCUCCUUAGAUGGUAGAGUGAAAGCUUGGUGCCUUGGCAUUACCCCCUGGGUAUAGUUAGCUGCGUUUUCAAGGCAGCCUGAUGACCUGGUCUCUGUAGCCCAUGUUUAGUUCUGGGGCCAACCACUGCCAUGCACGCCUCUGGUCACUUAGGCUAUUCUUCCUCUGGUGAACCUGUGUGCUGGGUUCUUUCUUUUCCUCCUAUUGGGUGCAAGAUCUUAACAUUUCUCCACUUUCAUUCCAGGACUAGGUACCAGUAUUUUUUGAAAGUUAAGGGAGGUAUGUUAGUUGGGUUCCCCAGGAAACCCUCUACUGAGGUAGAGUUAAGAGUGCAAAUGGUUUCAGGGGAGUAUGUGUGAAAGAAGGGGAGCAAGCAGAAUUGGGCAGAGGGACCCAUAAGAUGCACACCUAAAGUCUCUGCCAGCUCGAUGGGGAGUUGCAGAGCAAGGACUGCCUAACCAAGGAGUCCCACAUUGGUGUGAAAUCUGGGUCUUUAUAUGACCACCUGUCCCCAAGGAAGGAAGGAAGUUGAAGUGGAUUCUGAGGAAGCUAAAAUCUGGCACCCAUUAGGUAGACACACUCUUCAAGUCCUUUCUUAAAAAAGGAGCUGAGCAGUACAUGUCCUCAUUUGCCAGCAGUCCAGACAAAGCCAGACAUUCCUACAGGAAUCAGUUAUUGUCUGGCUAGCUCAGGGAAUGGCCUGGAAUUCUGGAAAAAUGGACUACAAACCUGGGCUAUAAACUGAAGAGCAUGUUGAUUCCAAUCUCCCACCCCUCCUUUUUUGUGGGUCACAUCAUGAGUGGUGUGUCACUGGGCUAGAAGGAUUCUGCAAGGUCCUUUGGGCCUCAGUACUCAAGGACUUGGGGACAGGUGAGUUACCUCGUGUCCUUUAUGCUGUCACACCUAUGUGAAUUCAGGUCUCUGCUGUAGGCCACAGUCACGAUGGUCAUCAUCACCAUUUUCCCAUAAGCACUUUACCCAGCAUCAACCAGCAUUCUUGGAAUACCAAAUUGAACUGGAGUAGAAUACAAAAGGAAGAUUCUAGUUCACCUUGUCUUCUAGAAACUUCUUGUAUUUGGAACAAUCGCAUGCUAUGCCAAAUAUAGAAUGAAUACAGUGACCUCCUGGGUUCUGUGAUCCUGGGUUCCCAAUUUCCCCUCUAUAGAAUGGGAAUUACUAUGACUGCCUCAAGCCUCACCCUGAAAGGGCUAUAGAGACUUCAAUGGUAUAAUGGAGGUGGAAGCCUUUGAGCACCUCAUUCCAAAGUUAUCAGAGCAUCUUUUGCCUAAGGCUCUUGAAACCUCUUAAAAGCACCACCACAUUUUCAUCAUACAAAAAUUGCCCAAGAGAGAUCUCCUCAUUACCAGCACUUGGUGGGAAUCUGGCAUUCAUCCUCACAAUUCCCCUAUGAUCACAGAGUCUUACCACAAAGGGCAUCUUUCUGCUAGAUUAUCUGCAGAAUGGUCUGGGGCAGAAGGCAAAAGCACCAGACUAUCUCGCUUGCCUCCCCGCCUCUGCUGGGGCCCAGGCAAUGUUCACCAGUGUGGUCCCCAGAAUUCUGGUCUCCUUGGCAUAGUUAUUUUGUUCGCCAAGCUAACGUUUAUAAUUUUACUUCCUACUGAGGACACAUUGAGAGAAUUUUUGCCCACUGUUCAAAUUCAUGGGACUAAUAUGUUACUGGGAAGAUGUCCAAUGUCCAGGGGGAACAGGGGAAGCAGAAGACAAAGCCUGCUAAAGCGGGAAGGGACUUGCCUUCACUUCCUCAUUCACAGGUGAAGCAGACACGAUGAGUAGGUGCCCAGCCGGGCUGGACUCUGUUCACCUGAUCGAAGUAUACUGGUUCUGACUUCAAAGGUGUUGAGUGAGGUGAGCCCCCCCCACCCUCCGCAAAUUGCAUAAACUUCAAGACCCACAAACCCUGGAUUAUCUCUCAUGGAGGACUGAGUUUUAAAGUCAGAAGAUAAAGUAGGAACUGACAAGCUCAUGCCUCGCAGCAUGCUCCUGGAAAGCACACAGGAGAGGUGAAGAAUCAGGAUACCCUGAGAUCUGAAAGGAAGGUAUGAAUCAAGUCAAGCUGAACAGUGGAGCAAGAAUUUGAAAGUUGGAAGCCUCUUGGACUAAGAGAAAAGAUAAAGGUGCCAGGUGGUGAGGAAUGUGAGGGCAGGGAACUAUACUUUAAACAGAAUACUCAUACAAUUUUCACAUUACAUGUGCAAGAAUAGUGUAUAAUGCAUAAUGGUGGAACCAUGUUUGGAGUCACACUGAUCUGGGCUCUACUUAUUUGAACUCCAUGACUUAGGACAGGUCAAGGAACAUCUUAGAAUUUCAGUUUCAUUUGUAAAUGAUAAUAGUAAUACUUAUCUCGAAAGUAUUACUUUUGAAAUUUUAGGUUAUAAAAUUAGGGAGAUAUUUUUCUGAAAAUGAUUUGUAAACUGUAAAGAGUUCUGUUUACCAAUAUUGGUUCUAAUUCAUUUUACUCACAAUGUAGAAAGAAUGUCCUUGUUCACCAAAAUGAUAAUAGUGGAAGGACCCUUAGAGGGAAAACAAACAAAGAAACAAACAAACCCAGCUCUGGUACUCUCAGAGUAAAAAUUCCAGCUUAUUACAUACUUGUGAGCAAUUCCCUAAUUUCUCCAAUCCUCAGUUUCUCUAUCUAAAUCAUGAAAGUUAUUAUACUUUGCCUUUAAACACCAGUGAGGUAAUAUCUUGAUCAGAUUUAUCUUUAAGUUCCUUGGGAGGAAAUAAAUGAAAAUAUCCAAUUCACUUUCCUUAUUCGGACCUUUACUAGAAUUUGGAAAGGAGACUCUCUCAAGCCUUUGAGCAACAGGGAAGACCGCUGAGUGCCACAACCCACCUUGGGCUGGACUGUAAUGAGAAGGACAUUGAUUGAGUGCUAGCUGUUGGACAUAUGGUUUUGCCUCACCCUCGUAACAGGCUAGUAUGUUUGACAUUACGGCUUAUAUUAUACAGAUGAGGAAAACGGGGCUCAGAAUAUUUGAGCAAAUACUUCAGUUCCCACCUCUAGUAAAUGGAGGAGCAGAACGUCAGACCCAGAUCAAUACUGGAACCUCCUUUUCCUGGUGUCCCCAGUUGACCUGCAGCUCCUUUGUGUCCAGGACAAGGAGGAUUGAACCUAUGUUCUACAGGAAGUCAGGCCUGUGACAGGUAAGAUGACAUGAGGCUAAGCCUCUUAUAGACUCCGGCACAGUGUGAAAUUGCUAGUUAUUAUUUUUAAAGCAGAGAGAAACUUUCCACCCAUGCACUUACACAGGCAGUUGGCUUCAAGGUCUGAUGGUUUUUGUCACCCUUGCCUUUUCUAGAUCAGUGUCCAAAGUAAGAGACUCUGUCUUCCUGUAUGUUGUGGCUGUUUCUGUUAAGCAGUGUCUUCAAAGGUCUAAUGAAGGAGGCCACCAUGGUGCCUGCAUGUCACAGAAAGAAUGUGGGCUCACAUCUUCACAAUGGCAGAGAUGGGUACAAAAGCAAAGACCACAUCAAUUUUGGAGCAUUUCCACCUGUGAUGUUUGACAUCCUUCAGGCACGGUCUGAGAGAGGGACUGGACCAGCAUCUUUUGAACAUUGUAUUGUGGGGGAAAGACACAGAUAUGAGGAGCUCUUCCCCCUGCAGAUACACCUGUGGCACGAGCCACCCUUCCCCCAUCCCCUAAGGCAGAGUCUCCUUUCCAUCCCGUGCACACCCUUGUUGGUUUAUAGGUCCCCACUAUUAGAUGAGUAAUAAACAGUAGGAUAUAAGCUUCCCUUCUGGCCAAUCCCAGAGCUAAAGUAACAUGUUCAAACACCCUGUUAUUAUUAUUACCAAUGAUAAUAAGAGGAAUAAUGAGCAAGAAUUGCUUUUAUUAAAUAAAUCAGGAAAAUGCACUUUACAACA